rnacentral:rRNA from 1 species
UGUAAUGUUGUAUAUAUAUUGGGAUUGCAUCCCAUUGGAGGAAAAUUUACACAGCAGUGUAAUAUUGAAACAUAGGGUAAGAUGUCUGUUUUGUGUUAAUGUUACAAAUUAACUUUUAACAGAUAUGGUGCUGAAAUAUCGUCCUAUGAGAUAUCAGUUUUUUUUAUAUAUACUAGAAAAUUGUAACUUUAGUUUUACCAUGUUUCGGUGUUCAGGGUUAGUAGUAUCUAUGUUACUAGUGUUACAACUAUACCGGGGUUUAGGUUCUAUUUUUAUUUAUAUACUAUAAAGCAUUAUAGUAUAAAUUAUCUCCAAAUUAGUAGAUUUGUUAAAUUAUGUAGGUGUUUGAAAUAUAAUAAGAGAACUCAGAAGCGAGAUCAAAUGUUUAUUAAAGACUUAGGGUAUCUAGUAUACCUGACUUCUGCCCGAUGUAUUUAGGUAUCAAUGGCAGACUUAGCGUGAGGUCAUUAAGGUAGCAAAAUCAUUUGUUUCUUUAUUGGAUUCCAGUAUGAAUGAAGGUUUGGUUAGUGUUCUUUCUUUUUUUUUAUCGAACUUAUUAUCCAUCUAAGAAAUGAUGGGUGCAGUAUUACAAAGAUAAGUCUUCGGAAACUCUAUUGUCAUAUAUUCAUAUGUUUGUAUGAUAAGUUCACUAGGGAAGUUAAUUAUAUAAUCAUUUUUUUCCUGUUUUCAUAAUAAAGAGUUACUUCGGAGUUAACAGAAAUUCAUACCUGAUGCAGUCCUUAUGUUAGGGUAAGUUUUACAUCGAUGUUGUAUCUCCACGUACCAGGAAAGAAUAAGGCUUGGUAAUUCAGACUGUUCUUCUAUGAGAUAGUGGGACGUGAUAUUAGUUUAAUUCGACGUAAGUCAGAAUUGUUUAUCUUGAGUAUUGCUUAAUUAUAGUAUGAUUAGUACGAAAGGAAUUUCACUAAAGUAUUAUACUAUUUUAAUAAAUCUUUUUA